rnacentral:piRNA from 2 species
CUCAGUCGGUAGAGCAUCAGACUUUUAA